UACAGAGGUCUCAAGCGUUGUUCGGAUUCAUUGGGCGUAAAGGGCGCGUAGGCGGCGGGGUAAGUCGGGUGUGAAAUCUCAGGGCUCAACCCUGAAACUGCACUCGAUACUGCUCUGCUUGAGGACUGGAGAGGAGACUGGAAUUCACGGUGUAGCAGUGAAAUGCGUAGAUAUCGUGAGGAAGACCGGUGGCGAAGGCGGGUCUCUGGGCCGAUACUGACGCUGAGGAGCGAAAGCGUGGGGAGCAAACAGG
rnacentral:rRNA from 1 species